AUUAUUUAUUAUAGUUAUAUUGGAAGUAUGUAAAAAUUGUGAAAUCAAAAGAUUAUGGCGGUAUUUUAAGCUUUUUAGAGGAAUUUGCUCUAUAAUUGAUAUAACACCAAUAUCUGACUUAAUUUUGUAAUGACAGUUUGUAUAUCGCUAUUUUAGAAUUAUAUUAAAAGGUUAUAAUUAAGAGAUAUUUUUUUUAAAAUGUUAGGUCAAGAUGCAGCAUAUAUUUAAGGUUGAAGUGAAUUACGAAAAUUUUUAUUAGUUAAUUAUGAAAUUGAAGAUAGGAUUUAAAAGUAAAGUGGAAUUAUAAUGUUUAUUUGAAUGAAGCUCUAGAAUAUGUAC
rnacentral:rRNA from 1 species